GCUGAUCCAGCCACCACCUUCCCAGGAGCAAUUCUCAGCUCUUUCCCUCAGAAAAGCAGAGUGGGAUCCCCAGGAGUAGCUGACAUUGGAGGUGGUGAUGGGGGCAGAUGUGAUGAUAGAGGCUCAUAACGUUCUGGAGGGUUAUAUGGUUACGGGGGUUCCUGUGAUGAUGGGAGAUUAUACAGUUAUGGGGGCCCAUACAGUUAGGAUGGACUCUAUGGUCAUGGGGUCCAUAUGGUUGUGAGGGAAUACAAGUUUAGGGGGAUGGCGAUGGGUAGGAUUACCAGAUAGUAACUGUGAAAGAACGGGAUGGCGUGGGGUGCGGGGGGAUAAUAGGCGCCUAUCUAAGACAAAGUCCCAAAAAACAGUAUUGUCGCUUUAAAAAUGGGACAUCUGGUCAUCCUAGCGAUGGGGCCAUUGUUAUGUUAAUGGCAGCUGUGGGCCAUGUUAAAUACAGCAGGUAUAUCCAUGGGAACAGGAAGAACCAGGAAAUGAGAGGCAUGAUACAGAUUCACAUCUGAGCUCAUAGGCCAAACUUUGAGAAGUGGUGAGUACACUGAACUCAGUGUGAAAUAAUGAGCGAGCUGCAUUUCAUCAGCACCUCUGCAAAGAUUCCUCAUGUUUCCCAUGUUAAACUCGAUGGGUUUCCUCUAUUGCUUCCCUAGCGAUAGGUUUCUUCUGUUAUCAGCACAAUGGGCCUGAUUCUCAACUACACGACAGUCAACAUAAACAAAAUGUCUCGCGGUCCACCAGCAGAUUGCCCUGAUGGGCCACAACCCGAAGGUUCCCCACCCCUGGUCUAGGUGAUCUCCUAUCCAUGAAUAUGGACGAUCUCUAUCUGCCUUUUAACUUUCUAACAGCAGCUGCAUAAUGGAGAAGCUUUUCGAACUUCUGCUUUUAUUGUGCUUUUUUUCAGUUGAGAGAAGUACUUCCAAAAGGUGGCAGAUGGACUGGAGUGCCAAACUCUACAGCUGCAAGACAGACCUCAGAGAACUGUGAGAAAGAUACCAUUUUGGAGCUGGGGAUAGGAUACGGCUCUCCAUAAAACGAUGGUUCAUCCCACAGCAUCUCAUCCUUCACCAAGAAUUCACCAUUUUCCUCUCUGCUGGGCUUCUUGCUGGGCUCACUCAACUGCAUUGUCUUACAAGACCUCACUUUCUUGCCUGCUCAUGGAUGGAGAGGCAGCGCUUUGACAAUCCUUUGAUGACAGCCACAUGUGCUACUGAUGCCACCCAUAACCACCAGCUGGCUCACACAAUGUUAAGAUGAAAGACAACUGAAGAGUGCAACAUGCAUAUCACCCCCUGUGAGGCUGCAAUUCAUCCAAAGGAGGACUUACAAAGGCACUCAAGUUUGUGUAAGCAGAGUCAGGAUGAGCUCUCCCCUGACCUCUGGUGGUGAAUUAUGGGAAGUGUGGAAAGAAGGCCAGGAAAUGUGAACUCUCAAAUAUUUGCAUGGGCACACCCAGC